AGAGCAGGCUGAUAUACAAAAGGUAAAUCCCUUUGAGGAAGCUGACGUUACACCUGCCUCAGAUCUCCCACCUAAAGCAUGAAUAUACAUCUUUGGUUGAACCUCCUGUCUGCAGAACAUACAGACUCUAUGUGUCUAUUUCAAAGAAGAAGUAUGAUGCGCUUCAAGUAAUUAAUUGGUAAGACCUGUGCUUCAAGAGGAUCAAAGCAACAACAGGGACAGUGUCUUGGCAGUUUUUGGAUGUUGAUGGCUUCCAUUCCAGAUCUGGAUCUGACAUCACCAAUACCAGAUGAGAUAUCUCCCUAAAAUUUACAAUAUAUAGUCCGAUGACAGUAUCAGCUAUUGGCCUUUCUUGAGGAAAAGAGGGUAAACUGACAGGAUUUCCCAGACCAGAUAUUCAGUUCUAGGAGGGAAUGAAGCCACUGGAUGAUCAAAGCCCUGUAUGACUCAAAAUGGUUUCCAGGUUUCUCCUGAUUUCGGUGACUGUCCAGUGGCUGAUUCCUCUUCCUCAGCUCACAGCAAAACACAGAAAAACUGUCUUUUCCACAAAUCUUCUGAUGGGAUGGGAAUGCUCUGGAGAGCAGUUGGACUUCUCUGUGACUACCAGGAGGCAAAUGCUUUCCCUCCUACUGAGCAAGGAUUGCACCAAAUGUCUUGUAGAGUGAAAAGUGGGAAAUAAGCAAUAGAACCCACUCUCUUGGUUUAUUAUUUAAGAAAACAAAGAAAAACAUCAGCAGAAUACAGAGUUGUCUCACAGAAUUUGCUGUGCUGGACCAUGAAUAUUAAGUCACACCAAAACCUUGAAAGAGAGCAAGAUGGAUCUGCUAGACCUUUACACACAUCGGCAACAAGGAGAGGUGGCUCCUCAGACAUCAAAAUAUUUUUUUUUCCGCAUAUAUGAACUCUGUUAGCAGCAAUGGUCUCCUGCGAGGAAAGAGACUGUAAAGACUCAUUAAACAAGGCCAAGCCUGAGGAACUCUUGAAUAGAAUUUGAUGUGUCAAUUCUCUCCUUAUGACAAACUUCCGUAUCUUAGUUUCUGCAAAAUAGAUUUUAUUUUCAUAGGCUUUUAAUUAGACAUCAUGCUUUCCACAAAUGAUUCUCAAAUCACUUCUGUUGAUGUUCUCAAAUUUUAAUUAACAAUAUAUCAAACAAUUCCAACUCUAUGUACAAUGGUUUGAUGUCCUGUUACUGUUGAGUGUGGACUGGGAGAAUGAGUAAAUUGUUGUGUACAUAAGAGCUUUACAAAGCUGUAGAAAAGUGGGAAAUCACUUAUUAUCAGAGGAAUUAACAAUAGCAGAGAUGGGAACCAGAGUCCAGAAUGUGGAUUUUGGAGUCAAUGAAACUAUUUCAGCUGUUUUAUCACUUUAAUCUCUAAGUUCUGUACUUAGCCAUAGUACAUCACUGGAGCAGAUCUGAAUUUCAUAACCUAAUCUAAAUAGAAAGUGAUUUUAGCACAAUGCUCCUCUUCUUCCUUCCCAUCAUAACCCCCCUCACAUACACCUAAAAAUUGCAGGGUACAGUAGUUCUUAAGAAAUCCUGAACUUGUAAUGAGAGUCUGUGGAUAACAGCUACGUUUAUUAUAUAGUGUUAAGUUUGCACUUCAUAUGGGUGAGAUACUGAGCAAGUACUAAUGGUCCAAAGAAGUCUUUAGAUAUUUUCUAUAAAAUGGCAACAUAUUCUGUGAAGUCUUCUUUUCCAUCAUACUUACUUUUACCAGACACAAUUAUUGAAAGGCACUGGAUGCUGUGGGCCAUUCCAGAUAGCAUUUUUUUUUUUUUUUUAAUUUUAACUUACUUUACAGCAGCUGGACCAAUUUAAAGGAAAUCCACAAAAUUAAGUAAUAGCCCACAAAAAUCACCACAGUGGCCCAGCCAUUCUCAGCUACUGGCAGAAUAAAUACUACUUUUCUCUCUAGGUUACUAGAACGUUCCAAUAACACAAAGAAUACUUGAUGAUUUGCAAAACUUGAUUAUUGACAUCCUGAAAUCUCCCUUCAGUUAAUUUUAGUCCUGUCUGCUGAUCCAGGUGACUGUGAUCCCCUGCUGCUGCUGGAUGGAAUGUUGCGUUUGUUUCUCCAGCAGUUUUGGUUUCUUAUGGUAUUUCCUUAGAGUUUCUGAAAAGAUUGAAAACACAAACGUCUUACUUCAUGUCAUUUGAGUUUGCAAAAAAAGGGGAAGUACCUGUGUGAGUAAUACAGAUGGAAUUGUAUUUGCUGGAGGACUUCCUUCUAAAGAAGAGCCAGAAACUCAUUCUUAUGGAGACCAGAAUCUCCUCAGGAAGAGGAAAAGGCAUCAAAAGGGCUAAAAAUAUCCUCUUUGUGGAUACGCAGGUGAUAAUUGUAAGUUUCUCUCCAUUUCUGUUACACUUUCUUCUAGGUAGGCUGAGAGACAAUGCAUUUCCACACACUGACAUCGGGAGAACCGCCUCCAUUCACUUGCUGCUUUUAUUCCUUGAUGGUGGAAAGUGCUAAGCAGUCAUCUGUCAGCAGUUGGAAGAGUUGUGUUAGUGAAGUUUCAGUCUUCAAAGGUACUUAACACUGAUAAUACAGAAUAUGUAGCAGGAAAAAAUGCAGUUUUCAGAUGAGGAAUGACUCUUUUAAUCUCUACUUCUUUUAAUAAUAUGGGCUCUGAUAUUUCAGUGCUUUAAGAGAGGUAGGACUUCUUCCCUCCUUCCCCCAGAAUCUUCAAAAAGUAAAAUUUAAUUUUAUGUAUUUCUAUAAUUUGAUAAUAAACUUAGUAUUG
rnacentral:lncRNA from 7 species